AUUCGCCGGAGAUGGCAAGUAAACUAGUGGUUCUGUGCGCAAUACUACACAAUAUCGCGGUAAGGAGUAGCGUAGAGCUUCCUCAGACAGAGGAAUUGCCUGAUGAGGAGCCAGGGGUUGUUCGACACUUCGGUGGGGGGAGUGUUACACGGAGGGGGAGCCAAGUCAGGGCAAGCAUUGUUGCUGAAUAUUUCAGCUGAAUGAUCACACAAACUGUGGACGAGAACAACGGCAGACCUCUCAGCCCCCUUCCCCUUCCCAGUCCCCCUCCCC